GCAGGUGUGAUGUAAUUGGCAACAUGAAGCUUUCGUACAGCUUUCUUGCAGGUUCAAUUCCUGUCGCCUGCU
rnacentral:tRNA from 1 species